AGCGAACGCUGGCGGCAGGCCUAACACAUGCAAGUCGAACGGACCCUUCGGGGUUAGUGGCGGACGGGUGAGUAACACGUGGGAACGUGCCUUUAGGUUCGGAAUAGCUCCUGGAAACGGGUGGUAAUGCCGAAUGUGCCCUUCGGGGGAAAGAUUUAUCGCCUUUAGAGCGGCCCGCGUCUGAUUAGCUAGUUGGUGAGGUAAUGGCUCACCAAGGCGACGAUCAGUAGCUGGUCUGAGAGGAUGACCAGCCACACUGGGACUGAGACACGGCCCAGACUCCUACGGGGGGCAGCAGAGGGGAAUCUUGCGCAAUGGGCGAAAGCCUGACGCAGCCAUGCCGCGUGAAUAAUGAAGGUCUUAGGAUUGUAAAAUUCUUUCACAAGGGACGAUAAUGACGGUACCCGGAGAAGAAGCCCCGGCUAACUUCGUGCCAGCCGCCGCCGUAA
rnacentral:rRNA from 1 species